GCAGGUGCAUGCCGCUAGCAUGAAGUCAGACAAGUGAACCCGCUGAA
rnacentral:rRNA from 2 species